rnacentral:rRNA from 1 species
GACGAACGCUGGCGGCGUGCCUAACACAUGCAAGUCGAGCGACGAACCAGGGCUUGCCCUGGGGCAAAGCAGCGAACGGGUGAGUAACACGUGGGUAACCUACCCCCAUAACCGGGACAACCCGAGGAAACACGGGCUAAUACCGGAUGUGCCCACUGGACUUCGGUUCAGUGCGUUAAGGAAGCUUCGGCCUGCGUAUCCGUAGGGGCCCGUGGCCCAUUAGUUUGUUGGUGGGGUAACGGCGCGCCAAGACCGCGAUGGGUAGCUGGUCUGGGAGGACGAUCGGCCACACUGGAACUGAGACACGGCCCAGAGUCCUACGGGAGGCAGCAGUGGGGAAUCUUGCGCAAUGCGGGAAAGCGUGACGGAGCAACGCCGCGUGGGGGAAGAAGGCCUUCGGGUUGUAAACCCCUUUCAGGAGGGACGAAGGUUCGGCGGUGAAGAGCCGUCCGGACUGACGGUACCUCCACAAGAAGCCCCGGCUAACUACGUG